CAUAAUUGCAGGCUGCUCUAAUCAUUCCCCAGCAGAAACAAGAUAUUUCUCGAUUAGAGAGAGAAUUCAACUGAGAGAGAUAUGAGCGAGAUCUGUAGCGACAGAGUAUUCCGGCUCCUGGCAUUCUUUGCUUCGAUUGCUCACUUUUUUGUUUCAGCCUAUUCUGAUGACUUGUCGUCUUCAAAAAAUGAAACAAAAGCAGAACAUCCUCGUGGUAGCAAGGGAUCAAAAAUAGCAAUUAUAAGUUUGGUGCUAUUAGUAGCUGCUCUCGUAUCAUAUCUCCUUUUCAAAUUUUGGCAAAGAAAGAAACGUGAUGAGCAGUAUGCUCGUUUACUCAAGUUGUUUGAAGAGGACGAUGAGCUAGAGCUUGAGCUUGGUCUUCGGGAUUGAGUCUUUUACUUUUGUAUUUUUAUGUUUAAUGAGUGGUGAUUCAUGAGGGGCGUGCUGGAUACUGUGGGCAGCUGAGAAGAGGGGAAUGCGAACACGACUUAUUGUGAAGACAGAUAGUAAGAUAUCCCAAACACAUUUGUAAAGAGUUGUAUCAGAAUGACUGGGGCAGAAAUUGAAGGUAUUCUUUUUAAAGGCAGCUGUUAUACAUAUGAUGAUAUACAUUGUUCAUAUCUUUCACUAGUUUGUAACUGCAAUUUUUGAGUGUAUAUUUUUAACUAUUUCCCUUGUGGAAAGCCAGUCUUUGCGACUGUGCUGUUUAUAAUUAUGGUCACAAUUUUCUUAUA